UUCCUUAUUUUGGAAGAUAAUGAUGCAUUUGUGGAGUUGCGCAAUGUAUACUGUAAGAGAAAUUGAAAUUUCUCUCAGCUUCAAGGGACCCGGUGCAGAUUCUGCAGGGAUUGGAAUGUCCCCCCGCGAUAUCGAACCCUUUGUUUUGGCGGAUAAGCGCUGGACUCCAAGAAACGAUUCAACAGCGUGAGAAACUCAACAAUAAAGCUUUCGUACUGUACAUACAGGGCCUGCAUCGAUUGGCUUCUCAGCUGGCGAACCUUUUUUUUUUUUCCCAGGGCUAGGAAGCCCCAGGCCAGUGCCAUUGAGAGGAGCAUCAUGAAGCAUCGGAAGGGAAGGAACG
rnacentral:sRNA from 1 species